rnacentral:rRNA from 1 species
UACGUAGGGUGCAGGCGUUAAUCGGAAUUACUGGGCGUAAAGCGUGCGCAGGCGGUUUGCUAAGAGAGAUGUGAAAUCCCCGGGCUUAACCUGGGAACUGCGUUUCUAACUGGCAGGCUUGAGUGUGGCAGAGGGGGGUGGAAUUCCACGUGUAGCAGUGAAAUGCGUAGAGAUGUGGAGGAACACCGAUGGCGAAGGCAGCCCCCUGGGCUAACACUGACGCUCAUGCACGAAAGCGUGGGGGGCAAACAGG